UGCGUAGGGUGCGAGCGUUAAUCGGAAUUACUGGGCGUAAAGCGUGCGUAGGUGGUCUUUUAAGUCCGUUGUGAAAGCCCUGGGCUCAACCUGGGAAUGGCAGUGGAUACUGGAAGGCUGGAGUACGGUAGAGGAGGGUGGAAUUCCCGGUGUAGCGGUGAAAUGCGCAGAUAUCAGGAGGAACACCGGUGGCGAAGGCGGGUCUCUGGGCCGAAACUGACGCUGAGGAGCGAAAGCGUGGGGAGCAAACAGG
rnacentral:rRNA from 1 species